AGAGUUUGAUCAUGGCUCAGGAUGAACGCUAGCGGCAGGCUUAACACAUGCAAGUCGAGGGGUAUAGUUCUUCGGAAUUAGAGACCGGCGCACGGGUGCGUAACGCGUAUGCAAUCUACCUUUUACAGAGGGAUAGCCCAGAGAAAUUUGGAUUAAUACCUCAUAGUAUAGCAACUUCGCAUGAAGUCACUAUUAAAGUCACAACGGUGAAAGAUGAGCAUGCGUCCCAUUAGCUAGUUGGUAAGGUAACGGCUUACCAAGGCAACGAUGGGUAGGGGUCCUGAGAGGGAGAUCCCCCACACUGGUACUGAGACACGGACCAGACUCCUACGGGAGGCAGCAGUGAGGAAUAUUGGUCAAUGGGCGCAAGCCUGAACCAGCCAUGCCGCGUGCAGGAUGACGGUCCUAUGGAUUGUAAACUGCUUUUGUACAGGAAGAAACAACUCUACGUGUAGAGUCUUGACGGUACUGUAAGAAUAAGGAUCGGCUAACUCCGUGCCAGCAGCCGCGGUAAUACGGAGGAUCCAAGCGUUAUCCGGAAUCAUUGGGUUUAAAGGGUCCGUAGGCGGUUUAGUAAGUCAGUGGUGAAAGCCCAUCGCUCAACGGUGGAACGGCCAUUGAUACUGCUAGACUUGAAUUAUUAGGAAGUAACUAGAAUAUGUAGUGUAGCGGUGAAAUGCUUAGAGAUUACAUGGAAUACCAAUUGCGAAGGCAGGUUACUACUAAUGGAUUGACGCUGAUGGACGAAAGCGUGGGUAGCGAACAGGAUUAGAUACCCUAGUAGUCC
rnacentral:rRNA from 1 species